GGGAUUGUAGCUCAGUGAUAGAGCACUCACCAAGCAUGUGUGAGGCCCUGAGUUCAAUUCUCAGCACUACAU
rnacentral:tRNA from 1 species